rnacentral:lncRNA from 1 species
GUUGGAGAGCAGAGUUCAAGUAUUUGUUUUCCCCUCUGCAGUACGGUUCUCACCUCUUUCCACUCUCUACCUGUUCUCCCUGACCCUCGCAGGAAACUCAGAGAAGACAAUCAUUCAGCAAGGACCAGAGCCAAGGAAGGUGACUCAUUCCUCCUCAUUCCGUCCCCCUGAGCCUUACAGCUUGGGCUUCAAGUCUGGCUCCUACAGCCUCCCCAGAAAUAUCCACAUUGGCGGAAACCAGAACCUCAGGAAAAGCACCACCCAGACUAACAGCCACUUCCCUGGAGAAUCUGAGGGACUCAUAGCUAAACCUGAGAAAAAGCAGGCCAGCCAGAGCAGGGAGCCUGGCCAGGCACAAGCUAAUCCCCUGGGGACUGCCCUUGACCUGGACGUGGUACUCAUCCCCCCACCUGCAGCUUUCCAGGACGCCCAGCCAGAGCAGGGUAGGAAAGACAGCCUGCCCAAGGGGCCAGGAGAGCCUAGGCCCCAACUCCACCCACCAUUCAGCCCCCUGGAGAGAGUGGAGGGGGAUUCAGAGGCCAUGUCCCACCCAGCCAGUGGGAAAGGUUCCACAGGGGCCUCAGGAAAGCCACAGCCUCCUCCUGCUGAGUUGUCUUGGAAUGCCAGAGCUGAAGAUGCUUCCCUCCCACCAGGGGCUGAUCCAAAUCCCAGAAUGGCUCCCCUCACAGCCCCGAAGCCCCGGAAGCUGCCACCCAACAUUGUUCUGAAGAGCAGCCGAAGCAGCUUCCACAGGGAUCCCCAGAACAGGCUGUCCCGACACCAUGAGGCUGGAGAAUCUGGCCUGGUGUCCUCUUCACUGCAGGACCAAAGGAAAGCACGCAGAGAAGCACUGGAGAAGCUGGGGCUACCCCAGGACCCAGAGGAGCCCAGCCUCCCUUUGAGUAGGCCCACCAGCUCCAUCAGACUCAAGGAGGCUCAGGGCCCCGAUCCUUCUCCAGCCCCAGCUCCAGCUCCUAUAGCUGCAAUUGCUCCUGCUGCAGAGAAGAUUCCAGCUCAGGGACCUUCCCCAAUGAAGCCUCCAGCAUCAGCUCUAGCUCAGGGGCCCUAUCCAGGCAAGGUUUGGAUUCCCACCCAGGAACCCUCUCUUGGGAAAGUUGCAGCUACCAAAUCCACACCAAUCCCUAUCCCUAAGGCCCCAAAGGCAAAUAGUGGCUUAACUCAGCCAAAGCCAGACUCAGGACUGACUCUCCGGGAGAGCAACAUCCCUGGCCUGAGACAGAUGAACUUCAAGUCCAACACUCUGGAGCGUUCGGGUGUGGGACUGAGCAGCUACCUCUCUGCUGAGAAAGACCCGAGUCCCAAAACCAGCACUUCCCUGGGAAAGGGUUCCUUCUUGGACAAGAUCUCACCCAGUGUCUUGCGUAAUUCUCGGCCCCGCCCUGCCUCCCUGGGCACUGGGAAGGACUUUGCAGGUAUCCAGGUGGGCAAGCUGGCUGACCUGGAUCAGGGCCAGAGCUCCAAGAGGCUGUCCUACCAAGGACAGAGCCGUGACAAGCUUCCUCGACCCCCUUGUGUCAGUGUCAAGAUUUCCCCAAAGGGCGUCUCUGAUGAACAUAGGAGGGAGGCCUUGAAGAAGCUGGGGCUGCUGAAGGAGUAGGCCACCAGUGCCACCAAGAUUAAACCAAGAGGAGAGACUGCGGGCUCCACUUAGGAGCCCUUGUGACCUCACGGCUUAGGGCUGGGGCAGCCAUGGGCUCCUCUCACUGGUUCUGCACUCUUGGAGGCGAAUGGGAAGGAGAGACUUUUGUUCAAGCAUGUGUUGAAUUCAGAGUGGUUGUGCCAUUGACCAUCUCUACAGAUCAUUCUGAAGAAGAAAUAGACAAGGGCGGGGGGCAUGUGCACGUGUAUUUGGGGAAGCUGUACAUAUCACUGACACUCUUUAUGUAACACAAAAAGGCAUUGUUCAGAGUUCUGCUCUUGUUGAAAAUUUUCUUACAAUGGAGAAGGGAGGCCAGAAAAGUCAAAUGAGAUGAUGGAUAUGCAAGUGAUCUGAAAGAAGAGUUAUAGUGGGGCUGGGGAUAUAGCUCAGUUGGCAGAGUGCUUGCCUCACAUGCACAAGGCCCUGGGUUCAAUCCCAGCAGCACCACCACCCCCCAAAAAGAAGAGUUAUAAUCUACACGUAAAGGUUCACAUGAAUGUGGGCCUCCUAGAAUCCCUGCGGGAAAUGAGACUGGUUCAUACCUUGUUGGAUCCCUCUCUCAGUUCAGGCCUUCUGGACAAGGCCUUGAGCCUAGAGAAGUUGGUUUGUUAUCUCUUCACCCACUGCCUUCUUAGUGUCACCAGUCCCACUGGAGGACCCCUCCCUGUGACUAAACCUCUUAGUUCACUGAUAGCAGGACAGCUCUUGUCAGUCUUGAAGGCAGGAUAAGAGGCCACACACUCAUACCUCUGCCUGCACUGGUGAGAGUUCUUGUCAGUGGGCUUGAGAAAUUCGAUAAUAAACUGUGCUGUGGUUCCAUGACUCUGGUAUUACGAUGCUUCCUGCUCUCUUGCUCUUUAUCUCACUCUGCACAUGACCGACUAGAGGGCUGGUCAAUACUGAGGUGGAAGCCCCAGCCCAGAGGUUUUAUAAAUACCACAGAACUAUUUCAGAUCUAUGUUAUUGUAGAUCAUUUUCAAAUGUCCACAGUUCCAAGGAUAAGAAAUCAGCACAAUACAUAGAAAAUUGGAGCUGAGAGGAAUCUUAAGAAGAACUCCUAUCCAACCCUGCUGGGGAAGGGCAGAGACUCAUUCAUGGUCACUCUGCAUUUGGUAAACAGCUGAGUCAAGGACCUGGUGCUCCUGAUUCCCAUUCUCUGCUGCCUCCCUUAACCAUGCUCUUGUACUUCCACGUACCACCUUAAAAGUCCAUAAUCACUUUCAAAGCCUGAUCCCUAAGAUCUUCAAGACCCUAGUGUCUUCUGAAGCAACCAGGACUAAAUAUUCAGGAUAUUUAGUGUUGUAGUUUUUAUUCCACCUUCAGAAAGUGGUUAUAUAAUAGCUCAUUCUUAACCAGAACACCUCUUCCUGCAGAUUCUCUGACCAAGCUGUACAAUUUGAGCAAAUGCCAAAAGAGGGUAAUAUGAGCAGGUGGUGUGGACUUGUGAAUACAAGCUUGAUUAGACAUGGCUAGACAUGACCCUCACUUCCCCUUAGGAAACACGUCUUAUGCCUAUGACUUGGUUGGAGUUCAGCAUGACCAGGUGUGAGGGGUAGAUAAAGGGACUGUUGUUGGAAAGGUGCCCUGAAGCUCUGCUGAGCAUUUCUGGCCCGUGUCCUCAAAGACCCAUCACUGUCAAACUCAGAAUUUCUGAACAUGAUGAGAAGGUUAGGGUAAGGAUAACAGAUGGCUCCGCCCUGCCCUGGUAUGUGGGGUGUGGGUGUGGCAGUUUCUAUGUACACUUCUCAUACACACUCACACCCAAAAGCCUGGUGCCUCAUUCCUAGCCCUGAGUGAGGACCCAUUCUGUCACAGCUGAUGGGGACUCCCACACUAGCCAAGCUAUAUCUUAUUACAGACUCCCAUAAGGAGAGAGAGCCACCUUCUAGAGAAAUGAUUAGACAUACUGGAUUAUUUUGAGCUGCUUCGUGUGUAAGUUUCAAGACACGACCUGAGGAAUGAUAGCUUUCUUCCUUAUUCAUUAAUUACCUUGAUUAAUAGGGAAACAUGAGACUAGCCAUCAACUGAGACUUGGUGGGAAUCCAGAGCCCUGGCAUCAACACAAUGCUAAUCCACACUGGUUGGUCAGGACUACUACCUGUUUAGUUUCCACCCCUGGGAAAUGAAACUUCUCUCCCAGACAAAUCAGAGUUACAAACAGCCUGCACUCUGCCCAUCAGCAUCCUCAUCCUAGUGGUGAGCUGGCUUCCCCAGUUUCAUAAUCUGAAAGACGCUUUUACCUGGUUAUUUAAGGAUACCAUGCUCCUUACGUCCUUGUCCUUCAAAAAGUAUAUUCUGUUUUAAGGAAAGUCUUUGGAAUUCAGGAAUAAAACAAUAAAUCUAAAUGAAGUCAUCUCAUUUUGAAGAGGAAAAAGGAGACCCAGUGAGGAUGGAUCUACCUCCCUGAGGGUGAUGCUAGACCCACCUGAGGUGAGACCUGAGGUAAUUGGGUCUGUUCUCUUGUGCUCGUAUAGGAUUUCUCUUCACUCAGCUUGGACUGGUUUGGUGGAAGGUGAGAAUGGGUUUUGUUAUUUUUUUUCAAAGGAUUUUGGGAGGAAAUUUGUAAAGACCAUCAAUUUGAUCUUAAAAGCCAAAGUGAUAGCUCUUGACCUUGGAUUUCUUGGAUUUCUGCUUUACAGCACUAUAGUCUUGCUGCUAUUAGGCACAAACUAUUCUCAGAAUAAAGAAGUGAUCACUCUUCAGCCUGGUGCAGUGGGAUCUGUGUUUUCAGAGGUGUUAUCAGCUGCUCCUCAGAGUCACCACUCCUGUGCUAAUUUGGGAAUUCUGUAUUCUGACUCCAGGGUGGUGGCAAGGCCGACCUACAGGCCAUCUUGCACUGAAGUUGGGACAGAGCCACUCACCUCUUACCUGCCUUCUUCCACAGAGGGAAGUGUGGUCUGGCAGAGUUCAUCCUGUAAUCUGGAGGGAGCAGGUGUGCAAACACUGCUGAUUGUUUCAUGGAAGGAAGGGCGGGUAAAAGAUAGGAAAGUAGGUCCUAAUUGAUGUUCUAGGUUUAAGCUGGAGGAGAAGGUUGAAGAGUCUACAGAAUGCACAAGUAUGUGAGAUGAACCCCUCUCUCUUUGGAUCCCUGGUUGCCUAUGUAGGCAAAGAAGGAUAACACUAUGCAAAUAUGAAACUACAUCUCUUAGAUUAGUGGAAGUGGAGACCAAGGGUGAGAAGGAGGAAUCCUGAACGUAUUUAUCAGAAACUAAGAAGGAAUACUCUUUUCCUCAUGUGAAUGACUAUAAAGCGUACAACUCUAGACUCAAAGUCAACCUCCAUCAUGGGGCAAUCAGGAGCCCUGGGAGAGAUACUUUAACUUUUGAACUUCAGAAUUCUCAUCUGUGAAAUGGAGGAAAUACCACUGUUCUUUAAAGAUUCUUGGGAUGGAAAGGUGAUAUAAAAUAUGGCAAGCUCAGUACUUGGCACUUGGCUCCAUAAUUACAGUACUAUCUUCAGGGACUUAGUCUUUCCUUCUCAAAGGGAGCAAACAGAGAGAGGGUUGGAAGCCAAGUAUACACCCAAUUCUGCUCUGAGAAGAAAUAGAAGAGAGCUUGCUGCCUAUAAAAGUCCAAAGUAACAACUAGUCUUUGGCACACCCUGCAGGUGACUCAACUUCACCCACGCCACGUUUCCGGAAUUUGAAUCUGAUGUUUGUAUCUUGGUGAGGAUGAGCCCACUGCUUCCGUUUCUGAAUUCUCAAACCCAGUUUCCCCUCAAUUGUGUCUCAUGCUUCUUAUGAGCAUAUAGUUUGGUUCUUCAAGUUUUCCCUAACUUCCUUUUUGCUACGUGGUUCAUGGAGCUAUAUGCUCUUCUAUAGUUAUUUAUUUUUAGGAAAGAGGGGGAAAACUUACAUAACAAGUGGGAACUUUUGCUAAAAGCAGAAAGUGAUAGAAACUCUAAAAAAGGUUUCAAGAUUCCUGGAGAAAUUAAAAAAAAAAUAGGGUAGACAUCUUUCUGGAUGAGGCAUUAUUUAUCAGGAUAUCAAAGCCCAUGGGAUGGCCUCUCCACAUCCUUCCUGGUGUGGUGACCCUGUGAAUUGCUUGAGUCAUCACUACCAUCACUGACACUUAGCACACCAGUGAGGUAAAAAAUGGUGACAGUCUGAUUCCAGGCUGUUACUCUCUCUUGCUCAUUACCUAGUUGAAUCGUUGUCCCUGUUCACCACUUGCUCUGGAUCCUGAGUUCAAAACUGUAUGAAACACAAUGGUAUCCAGGCAGAGCUGCAGACCAGGUGAACUCUAGUAGAUGAUUUCAUGUCACUCAUAAAAUGGGGGGGCUUGGAAUGGACUAUCUCCUAGAUCCAUGACAUCCCUGGAAUGUAUGUUUCAUGAGUCUAAAUAAGUCAAUUAGGAAGAUCAACACCCUGCCCAAAAUAACCACAAUCCAGUCUAAGAAAGCUUAUGUUUUAUAAUGCAACUCAAGCCCCCACUUAAAGAGAAAAAUGGAUGGAUGGAUGGAUGGACUGAUGGUGUUAUGGUUUGGAUAUGAGACAAAAGCUCACAUGUGAGACAGUGCAAGAAGGCUCAGAGGAGAAAUGAUUGGACUGUAAGAGUCUUAACCCAAUCAGUGAUUUAAUCCCCUGAUAGGAAUUAACUGAGUGGUAACUGAAGUGGGUAGGGUGUGGCUGGAGGAGGUGGGAAUUGGGGUGUGGCUUUGGGUAUAUAUUUGUAUCUGGCGAGUGGAUGCUCUCUCCGCUUUCUGAUUAUCAUGAUGUGAGCUGCUUCCCUCUUCCACAUUGUUCUGCCAUGAUGUUCAGCCUCACCUUGAACCUAGAGGAAUGGACUCCACUGUCUAUAGAUUGAGACUUCUGAAACUGUGAGCCCUUAAAUAAACUUUUCCUCCUCUACAAUUGUUCUGGUUGGGUCUUUUGGUCACAGUGGCAAAAUAGCUGACUAAAAUGUAUGUAUGUAUGUAUGGAUGGAUGGAUGGAUGAUGGACAGAUAAAAGGAGACAGGAGAAAGAUUGAGAACGUGGAGUAGCCAAGAGCAUAGGCUUGGGAGGCAGGUUUCCAAGGUCUCUGUACCUUAGUUCCUUUCCCAGUUAUUUCUUUGUUCUUCGUUUAUAUUCUUUUUCUGAAUAGUUCAGGGAACUAUAUGCUGUUCAAUGAUUAUUGUUUAUUAUAUUUUAUUUCAUUUUUUGGUACUGGCAAUUGAACCCAGGGCCUUGUGCGUGCUAGAAAGGUGCUCUUCCACUGAGAUAUGUCCCCAGCCCUUUUUAUUUUAUUUUGAGACAGGACCUCACUAAGUUGCUGAGGCUGGCUUCAAACUUUCAAACCUCCCUGAGAGCUGUAGUUACUACAGACCUAUAGUGACAUCUGACUAUUUAUUUUUUUAAAUGGAGGAAAAAUGAACUUAAAUUAUAACAGGAUGAAACCCUAUAAAGUAAGACAAUAAUAAUACUUGUUUUAGUCAGUUUUGUCACUGUGACCAAUUCACCUGACAAGAACAACUUAAAGGAGUAAAAGUGUAUUUGGGGCUCACGGUUUCAGAGGUCUCAGUCCAUAGACAGCCGACUCCAUUCCUCCAGGCUCAAGGUGAGACAGAACAGUGAAGGAAGGGCCCAGUGAACGAAGGGUUCAGCUCCUGAUAGGGUCAGGAAGGAGAGAUAGAGAGGGAGAGAUAGGUAGAUAGAUAGAUAGAUGGAUGGAUGGAUGGAUGGGAAGGGGUUAUAGGGAAGAUGCACCCUUCCAAAGCAUGCCCCCAAUGACCUUCUUCCUCCAGCCAUACCUCACCUGCCUAGGAUUGCAACACAGUCAGUCCAUUCAAACUAGGAUGGACUGAUUAGGUUACAGCUCUCAUAAUCUAAUCAUUUCACCUCUGAAUAGGCCUGCAUUAACAGGAGCUUUGGGGGGACACCUCAUAUCCUAUAUAAACACCCCAUGCAGUUGUUCCAAGAAUAGAAACAAAGUAGAUAAUCUAUGUAUAAAAACACUUAGCACACUGCUCAGUAAUAAUAUUUAUUAAUGUUGCUAUCAACUACAUAUGUAAUUUAGACUCUGACUCCCCACCCCCAUAUGAGGACUACAUUAAUCAUAGCCUGCACCUAAUUCCUCAAGCUGAAACAGUGGCGUGUUCCUCCAAUUUUCAGACCCUCCUGCAGCCCACCUCCACCCAAUUCUGUACUAUCUACAUCUGUGUGUGCUGCAUUAGGACCUCCCCACAACAACCCCUUCACUAUCCCUCCAGAUUCAAAGCCCAGGCCUUUGACUGAGUCACUUGGGAAAUGAAGUGACUUAACAGUAUUUUGUUGUUUUCUGAGUUUUUUACUGAAGGUUGGGAUGGGGGAUGCCAAGGGACCUGUCACAACGACAUGGCUCCCCUACACUGCCCUUCCUUUCUUCUCUCUUUCCAUGCCAACUUGUCCCACAACCAGGAAAUCCUUCUCACCUUCACCCACACUUGAAACCCUUUAUCAUCUGAGCCUUGGCCCAAGAGACUUUUCCAAAAAUUCCUCAUACAUGAAUACAGUUGACUGAGUGGAAACAGCAGUACCUCCUCACUGUCAUUCUUGAAAGGGGGCAGGGAGCUGUGACACAAAUUACCUGUGGCGUCCACACCUCCUCCAGCUCCCAUCAUGCUCUUCCUGAAUGGUUGGGCAGAUUCUGAGAGGCCAGCUCCUUGGGUGUGGAAAGAUGUUUGUCAUCUCCUCUCAGUGACUCUCCUGCCCCAUCCUUUAGACACAGACUCCUCUGUAUCAGCAGAGGCCCCAGGUGGGUCUUUGUGGGCUAAGGAAGAUAUCAUUUGUUUGCAGUUAGUUCAAAUACAGCAUCAUUAGCCUUUUGGCACUGUUAGAGCUCCAACCUCUGCCAUUCCUCUUCCACCUAGGGAGUCAGGAACCAUCCUGUGCUUCUGACCCAGCUGCCUGGGAAGGAGCAACAUCCAGUUGGUCCCCUGCCCUGCCAAGUGUCUGCUCUGUUCACUUCUGUCCAAGAAGAGGUCAGAAUAGCUGCCCAGGUUUUGUCACUGUUCUGCCUCAUGGUGCUGGGACAGCCACCGGGGCUGUUGCACCCUCCUCUCCAGACCUAAUGUCCAGAAGGCCAGAACAAUGUUCUCUAUUGGGGAAAUUUCUCAUCAAAUCUUCCCUCUGUGCUCUAUUCCUCAGCUGUCUGCUCGAUGCGCAAAAAGUGUCUCGUACCCUUAGUCCAAACACAGACCCCCGUGGGGGACCUGCAUGGGUUCACCAAAGUAGUCAGUCCAUCAAGUCAUGUAAAUGUUACCUCCGGACUUCUCCCAGUCUCUCUCUCUCCCAGAUGAUUGUUCUCUUCACAUCACCUCAGCCUGCUUCCAUUUCUGUCUCCACCCAGCAACCACAAGGAUAUUUGCAUCUAUAGUGCAUUACCUUUCCUGUAAGAAAAGGGGAUAUGAGAAAAAAAAUAUGGGAGUAAACCAAAACCAAAUGUGAUCAGUUCCCUACAAUGGAGGAGAAGGGAAGCAGUGGGAAGAAAGUGGGGGGUCGGGGGUGGGCAUAGAGAGAAGGGAUCAGGGAGAACUACCUGUGUGUACCUUUUUAUAUGGUUCAAAUCUGAAAGCCCUAGUAAUGUUUUGCAUACUCAUUAAAUAAGUAAAUAAGCAAACAACUACCUGACAUGUGCGUAUAAGGAGAAGGGGAAUCCAGAGAGUAACAAAUCAACCUGUGUUAAGAAUGAAUGUCAUCAGCCGGACACCAUUGGCAUAUGCCUGUAAUCUCAGUGAAUCUGGAGGCUGAAGCAGGAGGAUCCCAAAUUCAAGGCCAAACUCUGGCCAAUCUAGCAAGACCCUAUUUCAAAACAAAAACAAAAACAAAAUAAGGACUGUGGAUAUAGCUCAAUGCUAGAGCACUCCUGGGUUUAAUCCUCAGUACUACAAAAAAGAAUUAAAAAAAAAAAAGAAAAUAGUGAAUGACAUCAUCAUACCAAAGGGGGUGGGAAAGAAAAGAGCAAAUUUAAGUAAUUUGGAGGGGGAAAAAAACAUAUUUUAAAUGCAUGCUUUAAAAAAAAGACAUUCUAUUUCAUAAAUGUUUCCACAUGUACAGUUCAACAAUUCUAAAACCACAUUAUGAGUAUUACAAGAAUAAGUAAGCAACUCUGUCAUGGACAAAGAGAACUAGAUUUAUUACUUUAGGGGAAGAGAGUUAUAAAUUCAAAAGUGGAGACUGGACUGAACCCUCUAAUACUGAACUGGAAUCAGAGACAUCUAUCUAUAUGAACUCAAUGGUUAGUUAGGUAAUAGACAGUUAGAUGAUUGAUAGAUAAACAUGGACAAAGAUACUGGUGUGUAUGUAUAUCUGUACUUUUCUUUCCUAGCUCUGUCCUCUUUCUGAGAGAGUCUGGGGGUAACGAAACCCCAGAAGGAAUGAGCAUACCUGGUACACAGGCCUUGAUUUUCAAUAGCAUUUUCUACAAAAAGAAACUAGAAGUCUUUGGAGAAUUACGUGGCCAGCCCAGAAAAAGACAAGAUAGGCCUGAAAUAUCUUGUGAUACCUAAAAGUAAGAAAAUACUCAAAAAAUAAUGACAACAUUUCAAAAGGACAUAAAAACCAACACAAAGUUCUCUUGGUCCAAUAAGGGAGAAGCUGAUCAGUGAGAUAACUGGCAGUUAUGGAUUAUACUCCUUGGAAUGAAAAUAAAUAUUCAUGGUUCCAUACUGAUGUAAAUAAAUAAUUGAAUAAAUAACUAAAUCAGGGAGAAGCAAUAGUUAUUCUGUACAAAACAAUUCCAAUAAAGGCAGAAUGAAUGACAGAGAUAGAAGGAUCACAGUUUGGCAAGCAUCACAGUAAUAAUCAUUGCAGGCAAGAUUAUGAAUGGACAUUGAAAUGAACAGAAGAAAAUAUGAUGAGAUGUUGGCAUCGUCUCAAAAUCUCUCUCUCUACAAAAUUCUUAUUUAUUACAGAGGGAAAAAUGGAACUUUUGUAAUGAAACAAAC